GCUCCAUUCAGCAGCGCAUAUACUAAACAGAGCAAUACAGGCAGGGUUAGCCAUGGCCCCUCCACAAGGAUGGCAGACAAAUUCAUGAAGCAUUUCAUACUUUU